ensembl:lncRNA
AAAGGAGAUAAAGGCUGUAGAGCCAGGCUCCCAGAGGGGGAAAACCCCUCGCAAUAAGAAACAUUAUUGCACAUGACUGGACUGGAGAGGGAGAUAAAUAAUUCAGCUGCCACACUAAAUACUGGAGAGGAGCUGACGGGGAGGAAGAUAUCGUGAAACCUGGGCUGGGAAAACAAGCCUUUCUUAAGAAGCCAGCAAACCGUAGUACAGUCCUUAACUGCCUCCAUGGCAGGAACAGCAGGAUGGAAGGACCUGGGCAAAAGAUGGCUGCUCAUCCUAUAGCAGCUGGGAAGCAGAGAAAGAAAGAAGGAGUUCCACUGACUGAGCCUCCUGGCAUGGGAGGAAACAGCAGGCAUGGAGGAGAGGCACUCUGCAGUUUUACUUAUUGCUCUUAAAAUUCAGAGAGCACAGCUCGGCAUGACAUCCUGUCACUGAACCUGACCUCCUCUGUGUGUGUACAGCAUCAGGAUGGCUCCCUGGUGAUACUAUGUCCUCCCCGGUUCAUCCUGGCCACAUGUGUUCUCUGUCAAUACUGCUGCAGCACCAGCUAUCACAUUCAGCUUCAGAGACCCCCAUAUCUCCAAGGUUUUGUCUGUUGUGCCACCCCCCAUCUGGAUCUGCAUAAAAUAGCUUGUAUUCAAUUCUUAAACGUAUGUUAUCCAUAUUAUUACUGAAAGAUACCUUGUUAUUCAUCACAUGUUUGUCCAACCUAACUGGAAUGUCUUGACUUCUUGACUGGCUAAUUUGGAGGCAUGUGCAGGAGCAAGGGGAAGAGGUU